rnacentral:tRNA from 1 species
GUCUGGUUGGCUCAGUUGGUAGAGCAUAGACUCUUGAUCUCAGGGUUGUGAGUUCAAGCCCCACAUUGGCCA